rnacentral:piRNA from 1 species
UGAGAGCAGCCUUGGAUUUGAAGCA